GACGAACGCUGGCGGCGUGCUUAACACAUGCAAGUCGAACGGAAAGGCCCUGCUUUUGUGGGGUGCUCGAGUGGUGAACGGGUGAGUAACACGUGUGUAACCUGCCCUUGACUUUGGGAUAACUUCAGGAAACUGGGGCUAAUACCGGAUAGGAGCUCCUGCUGCAUGGUGGGGGUUGGAAAGUUUCGGCGGUUGGGGAUGGACUCGCGGCUUAUCAGCUUGUUGGUGGGGUAGUGGCUUACCAAGGCUUUGACGGGUAGCCGGCCUGAGAGGGUGACCGGCCACAUUGGGACUGAGAUACGGCCCAGACUCCUACGGGAGGCAGCAGUGGGGAAUAUUGCACAAUGGGCGGAAGCCUGAUGCAGCAACGCCGCGUGCGGGAUGACGGCCUUCGGGUUGUAAACCGCUUUCGCCUGUGACGAAGCGUGAGUGACGGUAAUGGGUAAAGAAGCACCGGCUAACUACGUG
rnacentral:rRNA from 1 species